rnacentral:lncRNA from 1 species
UUUAUGUUUCUAACCUACCCAACCAGUUGUAUGUUUCUAACCUACCCAACCAGUUGUAUGUUUCUAACCUACCCAACAAGUUGUACUGUUUCUAACCUACCCAACCAGUUGUACUGUUUCUAACCUACCCAACCAGUUGUAUUGUUUUCUAACCUACCCAACCAGGUGUAUUGUUUCUAACUCCAACCAGUUUGUACUGUUCUACGAACCUAC